rnacentral:tRNA from 1 species
GUUAGGGUGGCAGAGCUCGGUGAUUGCAUAAAACUUAAACCUUUAUACUCAGAGGUUCAAAUCCUCUCCCUAAUA